ensembl:lncRNA
CAACAUUAGUAAGCUCGAUGGCAGUUGAGAGUCAGGCCUUUAUUUACAUGGCUGCCUGAGACGGACGAACUCUGGGAUGCUCCACUCCACCCAUCCAUGAAGGGCCUGCUACCUACAUCCCUCUUGCUGAUGACAAGGUGAAAGGGCAGAGAGAUGAGAACGUGGGCUCCCUGCAAGGAAGAGCUGUAUCCCCAGGACUAGGAUGAUGCCCAUGCCCAACAAUUGCCAUUUUACCAGUGAGGAAACUCAGAGAGGGCAAGUGCCGUCCACAGGCUCACUUGGCUAGUUCGGAUGAAGCCACAAACAGAGCCUCUCCCUGAGCCUAGGCUCCCUGGUCAGCUUAGCUGAAUUAAUUAAUGCACUUCUGUGGAGAAGAAAUGACUAGUUCCCUGGACACUAAAUGCCACCACUGGCUCGCAGUUUGGAGCCAUGGUAUGAGAACAACUGAAUUUGCACACAGCUUGCACUUUGAGAAGCAAGAGAGAACUUCCUCCUUGAGGGAGGGGAGGACAUCUCCUCCCUGACAGGGUGAGGCAGCCAUGCCCUCCCCAACCAAGCUCCCUUAGCUAGAAGGCUGUGUGAGAAAAUUCUCAGCUCCAGUGAGAGUAUCAGUGACUUUACUUCUGGCUCUGCCACCACUGCCCCAGCCAACCCUGGGACUACAGUCUUGGAGUAAGGUGUGGCCAGUGAAGAAGGUUCCAUAACUCCUUUGUGCUGAAGAAAAGGAUGAGGGGUGAGAAUCGAGAAGGGAGAGGCUUGACUAAGUGCUAAGGCCCAUCCCGCCUCACUCGGCCUCAUCCGCUAGGUGGAGUGAAUCACUGCCCUGUUCUGGCCCCGGAGCAGCAUGGCUAAUGGGAGCAGGCGCCCUCCUCUUGUGACGUGACCCCAGAGGUCAAGAGUAUCAAGAGCUAGAGACCCCAGAGCGGAAAGGAAAUCCCAGAAACUGCUACACUUGGCUCUCCCUUCCUUCAGAAAGAAACUUCAUGGUGUGAGCUGGGCACCUUCAUGCGGUCGAUUUCAGGGAUUGAGGAACCCUUACCGACCGUGGUGCUGUGGUGUGAAUCUUCAAUGCUCCCAGCUUCCUCGUGCACGAGGGGAUGGAUGUGAGGAGAGAGAUUCACAACAUCUCAAAGGGCUGAGAAUUACUGCUGGGUGCUCAGCCCUAAGUGACAUCUACACUGCAAGGUGGAGGAGACAUUGUAGGAGAGGGUUCAAAAGGAACAGAAGAGCCAGAGGGGAAGAAGCUGUGAAACGCUCUCUGCUCGACAGGACACAGGUGUUGCACUCAUGAACCCACGGCAGCUACGGUUACCUGCAUGAGUGCUUACCUGCAUGAUACCCACACAAGACCAGGCCUGCCAGCAUUCCUACCUGAAUAAGGGAGAGGCUCAGGAGGCCCCACCCCUGCCUGAGGAAACAUGAGCAAAUGGUGUCUGGGGGAGGGGAAGGCAUGUUGUUCCCUGCUGUCGCCACUGCUGAGUUACCAUUGGUGGAGUAAAUACCCCCACCCACGUUCAUGCAAGCUCAGCCUUCUAACACACGGGCCUCUAUGGAGCAUCGAAGAUCUAAACUAUAACACCAUGUUUUUAAAAAGUUAAUUCAUGGCUUCCCACUUUUAUUCCUGUCUGCUCAUUUAACCCUUAAGUGUUCUUUUGGGUGAUAAUUAAAACUUUAAAAACCAAGAAUGGUUUUUAAGCUUCACGAGAGCUUAC